AGAAGGUUACUCAAAUGGUAAAGAGGCUAGUCUUGAAAACUAGUAGGGGUGUAAAAGCCUAUGUGGGUUCGAGUCCCACACCUUCUGCCA
rnacentral:tRNA from 1 species